CCUACGGGUGGCAGCAGUGAGGAAUAUUGGUCAAUGGGCGAAAGCCUGAACCAGCCAAGUCGCGUGAGGGAUGAAGGUUCUAUGUAUCGUAAACCUCUUUUAUAAGGGAAUAAAGUGUGGGACGUGUCCUAUUUUGUAUGUACCUUAUGAAUAAGGAUCGGCUAACUCCGUGCCAGCAGCCGCGGUAAUACGGCGGAUCCGAUCGUUAUCCGGAUUUAUUGGGUUUAAAGGGUGCGUAGGCGGGCUGUUAAGUCAGCGGUGAAAGUGUAGGUCUCAACCAUAAAAUUGCCGUUGAAACUGGUUGGCUUGAGUAUGUUUGAGGCAGGCGGAAUGCGUGGUGUAGCGGUGAAAUGCUUAGAUAUCACGCAGAACCCCGAUUGCGAAGGCAGCCUACCA
rnacentral:rRNA from 1 species